rnacentral:rRNA from 1 species
CAUCACAUCCUGGGGCUGAAGUCGGUCCCAAGGGUAUGGCUGUUCGCCAUUUAAAGUGGUACGCGAGCUGGGUUUAGAACGUCGUGAGACAGUUCGGUCCCUAUCUGCCGUGGGCGUUGGAAGAUUGAAGGGGGCUGCUCCUAGUACGAGAGGACCGGAGUGGACGAACCUCUGGUGUUCGGGUUGUGUCGCCAGACGCAUUGCCCGGUAGCUAAGUUCGGAAUUGAUAAGCGCUGAAAGCAUCUAAGCGCGAAGCGAGCCCUGAGAUGAGUCUUCCCUGACAGUUUAACUGUCCUAAAGGGUUGUUCGAGACUAGAACGUUGAUAGGCAGGGUGUGUAAGCGUUGUGAGGCGUUGAGCUAACCUGUACUA